rnacentral:rRNA from 1 species
AACGAACGCUGGCGGCAUGCCUAACACAUGCAAGUCGAACGAGACCUUCGGGUCUAGUGGCGCACGGGUGCGUAACGCGUGGGAACCUGCCUUUAGGUUCGGAAUAACUCAGAGAAAUUUGAGCUAAUACCGGUUGAUGUCUUCGGACCAAAGAUUUAUCGCCUUUAGAUGGGCCCGCGUUGGAUUAGCUAGUUGGUGGGGUAAAGGCCUACCAAGGCGACGAUCCAUAGCUGGUCUGAGAGGAUGAUCAGCCACACUGGGACUGAGACACGGCCCAGACUCCUACGGGAGGCAGCAGUGGGGAAUAUUGGACAAUGGGCGAAAGCCUGAUCCAGCAAGGCCGCGUGAGUGAUGAAGGCCUUAGGGUUGUAGAGCUCUUUUACCCGAGAUGAUAAUGACAGUAGCGGGAGAAUAAGCUCCGGCUAACUCCGUG